CCCCCAGCCAACUUCUUGCUCCCUUUCUCCAACAGCUCCUUGUCUGAUACGGUCAAAAAAAUUGAAUACAUAUUACUUAUCUAACAAGGCACCCUUUUGCCACAGAUGGAUGAUUAAAGUGGCACAGACAACAUAGCCAACUGUACUGAUGAAACAAAUAAUAUCACAAAGCUGUAUUUGUUUUAGAAGGCUCAGAUGUAACUGUCUUUGAGGAUGCAAACCUUCAACCACCAAUGAUAUACAUAUUUCUCAUACUAUUAUAAGAUAGGAGAUUCAAUGAAUGGUGCUUCCUUCAUGGCAGAGAUGUCAACAUGCGAAAUUCAAAUUUAUAAUCAACAUAGAAUCAAUUUGGUUACACAAAUUGUAAUUGAAGCCAUUAUCAUAAAAUUAAUUACUAAUAUAAUUAUUUUUUCCAUAACUUAAAAAGAAUCAACCUAUACGAGGUACCUUUUGGUUGCUUCAUCCCCGCAAUUCAAGCGCCAAUCUCCUUGCUGGGAGGAUAUUUUGAUAAGCUUGAUGUAUUGCAGAGUCUCUGAUGUAAAGAACAGUCAAUAAAUGGGGAGCAUUUCAAAAUGGAGAAUCCCAUGCCUCUAAGGAGUCUAGGAAGGGAAAAAGUUCCUAAAAUAUCAUGCAUGGUAGAUUUUGUGAGAAAUAAAAUUAUUAUUUCAUACUUCAUAAUAUAGCAAUACCGUGAAAAAUAUAUCUCUCUUUUUUCUUUUCUUUUUUUGCAAGUUAGAAAUAAAGCUCUGGCAACUUCUGACUUCAUUAUUUCAUAAUGCAUAACCUUCCUUGUAUUGAAAGGAAAGAAGGUACUUUUAAGCAUGGAAGGAAAAAGAAAAAGAACAAUAUGGCUUUUAAAGAGCACAAAAACAUAUAUUUGCAGUUACACGUAAAUAAAUAAAAGCUACCAUUUUCCCAAAAACUGUAGUAGGAUAAAAUACAUGCAUCAAACAAUAUGGAGAGUUUCAUUGCACAGGAAUACACAACUAAGAGAUGAGAAAACAAUCCUUCUAAUACCACUAGAUUACUUCACAGAAGGAUGUAGCUCAAUCUCAAUCAGAUUAUAUAAUUACUUGCUGGAGACAUAAACGUUGUAACCUCACUUUUUAGAGCAGCAGUUGUUGUACCUCGGUGUGCUGGAUCUACAGAAUGUAGGGUCUCCGUAAUCUUUAAAGCAUCAGAAACACAUCACAUAUAGUGGUCUUCAAAAUUCUAAUGUGUAAAUUGACAAAAUUGGUAAAACAUUGUAUCCA
rnacentral:lncRNA from 1 species